rnacentral:rRNA from 1 species
UACGGAGGGAGCUAGCGUUGUUCGGAAUUACUGGGCGUAAAGCGCGCGCAGGCGGCCUUUUAAGUCUGACGGUGAAAUGCCGGGGCUCAACCCCGUGCCCGCCGGAGAUACUGGGAGGCUGGAGACGAGUAGAGGCAAGCGGAAUUCCGGGUGUAGCGGUGGAAUGCGUAGAGAUCCGGAAGAACACCGGAGGCGAAGGCGGCUUGCUGGGCUCGGUCUGACGCUGAGGCGCGAAAGCGUGGGGAGCGAACAGG